ACUCAAAUGAAUUGACGGGGGCUCGCACAAGCGGUGGAGCAUGCGGUUUAAUUCGAUGUUACGCGAAAAACCUUACCAACCCUUGACAUGGUGGUCGUAGGCUGUAGAGAUAUAGCCGUCAGUUCGGCUGGACCACACACAGGUGUUGCAUGGCUGUCGUCAGCUCGUGUCGUGAGAUGUUGGGUUAAGUCCCGCAACGAGCGAAACCCUCAUCCUUAUUUGCCAGCGGGUAAUGCCGGGAACUAUAAGGAAACUGCCGGUGAUAAGCCGGAGGAAGGUGGGGACGAUGUCAAGUCAUCAUGGCCCUUACGGGUUGGGCUACACGCGUGCUACAAUGGUAUCUACAGAGGGAAGCAAGACAGUGAUGUGGAGCAAAUCCCUAAAAGAUAUCUCAGUUCGGAUUGUUCUCUGCAACUCGAGAGCAUGAAGUUGGAAUCGCUAGUAAUCGCGGAUCAGAAUGCCGCGGUGAAUACGUUCUCGGGCCUUGUACACACCGCCCGU
rnacentral:rRNA from 1 species